CUCACACACACCACAUACACAGUCACACACACACCCGACACAUGCACACGUCACAUCAGCAUCGAUCACACACCCCACUCACACCACGUACACAGACACACACACACCCCACACAUGCACACGUCACAUCAGCAUCAAUCACACACCCCACUCACACAUACCACAUACACAGUCACACACAUACACCCCCCACACAUGCACACGUCACAUCAUCGAUCACACACACCACGUACACAGUCACACACACACCCCACACAUGCACACGUCACAUCAGCAUCGAUCACACACCCCACUCACACACACCACGUACACAGUCACACACACACCCCACACAUGCACACGUCACAUCAGCAUCGAUCACACACCCCACUCACACACACCACGUACAGAGUCAUACACACACCCCACACAUGCACACGUCACAUCAGCAUCGAUCACACACCCCACUCACACACACCACGUACACAGGCACACACACACACCCCCCACACAUGCACACGUCACAUCAGCGUCGAUCACACACCCCACUCACACACACCACGUACACAGUCAGACACACACACACACCCCACACAUGCACACGUCACAUCAGCAUCGAUCACACACCCCACUCA
rnacentral:lncRNA from 1 species